UACGUAGGUGGCAAGCGUUGUCCGGAUUUACUGGGCGUAAAGAGCGCGCAGGCGGCCAAGUCAGUCGAAUGUGAAAGCCCCCGGCUCAACUGGGGAGGGUCAUUCGAUACUGCUCGGCUCGAAGACAGGAGAGGGAAGUGGAAUUCCCGGUGUAGUGGUGAAAUGCGUUGAUAUCGGAAGGAACGCCGGUGGCGAAAGCGACGUGCUGGACCUCUUCUGACGCUGAGGCGCGAAAGCUAGGGGAGCGAACGGG
rnacentral:rRNA from 1 species